rnacentral:rRNA from 1 species
GGAUUAGAUACCCUGGUAGUCCAUGCCGUAAACGAUGUGUGCUAGACGUUGGAAAUAUAUUUUUCAGUGUCGCAGCGAAAGCAUUAAGCACACCGCCUGGGGAGUACGACCGCAAGGUUAAAACUCAAAUGAAUUGACGGGGACCCGCACAAGCAGUGGAGCAUGUGGUUUAAUUCGAAGAUACGCGCAGAACCUUACCAACACUUGACAUGUUCGUCGCGAAACUAAGAGAUUAGUUUCUUCAGUUCGGCUGGACAGGUGACAGGUGCUGCAUGGCUGUCGUCAGCUCGUGCCG